rnacentral:rRNA from 1 species
GACGAACGCUGGCGGCGUGCUUAACACAUGCAAGUCGAACGGUAAGGCUCCAGCUUGCUGGGGUACACGAGUGGCGAACGGGUGAGUAACACGUGGGUGACCUGCCCUGCACUUCGGGAUAAGCCUGGGAAACUGGGUCUAAUACCGGAUAGGACCGCACCGUGAGGGUGUGGUGGAAAGUUUUUUCGGUGUGGGAUGGGCCCGCGGCCUAUCAGCUUGUUGGUGGGGUAAUGGCCUACCAAGGCGGCGACGGGUAGCCGGCCUGAGAGGGUGGACGGCCACAUUGGGACUGAGACACGGCCCAGACUCCUACGGGAGGCAGCAGUGGGGAAUAUUGCUCAAUGGGCGGAAGCCUGAUGCAGCGACGCCGCGUGGGGGAUGACGGCCUUCGGGUUGUAAACUCCUUUCACCAUCGACGAAGGGUUUCUGACGGUAGAUGGAGAAGAAGCACCGGCUAACUACGUGCCAGCAGCCGCGGUAAUACGUAGGGUGCGAGCGUUGUCCGGAAUUACUGGGCGUAAAGAGCUCGUAGGUGGUUUGUCGCGUCGUCUGUGAAAUUCCGGGGCUUAACUCCGGGCGUGCAGGCGAUACGGGCAUAACUUGAGUACUGUAGGGGAGACUGGAAUUCCUGGUGUAGCGGUGAAAUGCGCAGAUAUCAGGAGGAACACCGGUGGCGAAGGCGGGUCUCUGGGCAGUAACUGACGCUGAGGAGCGAAAGCAUGGGGAGCGAACAGGAUUAGAUACCCUGGUAGUCCAUGCCGUAAACGGUGGGCGCUAGGUGUGGGUUUCCUUCCACGGGAUCCGUGCCGUAGCUAACGCAUUAAGCGCCCCGCCUGGGGAGUACGGCCGCAAGGCUAAAACUCAAAGGAAUUGACGGGGGCCCGCACAAGCGGCGGAGCAUGUGGAUUAAUUCGAUGCAACGCGAAGAACCUUACCUGGGCUUGACAUAUACAGGAUCGCGCCAGAGAUGGUGUUUCCCUUGUGGCUUGUAUACAGGUGGUGCAUGGUUGUCGUCAGCUCGUGUCGUGAGAUGUUGGGUUAAGUCCCGCAACGAGCGCAACCCUUGUCUUAUGUUGCCAGCACGUUGUGGUGGGGACUCGUAAGAAACUGCCGGGGUUAACUCGGAGGAAGGUGGGGAUGACGUCAAAUCAUCAUGCCCCUUAUGUCCAGGGCUUCACACAUGCUACAAUGGUCGGUACAGUGGGUUGCCAGUCCGUGAGGGCGAGCUAAUCCCGCAAAGCCGGUCUCAGUUCGGAUCGGGGUCUGCAACUCGACCCCGUGAAGUCGGAGUCGCUAGUAAUCGCAGAUCAGCAACGCUGCGGUGAAUACGUUCCCGGGCCU